rnacentral:lncRNA from 1 species
UUGUUUUUACUUGAAUUCUCACGAGACUAUUGUCAUUAUAAAUAAGAUCGGGACGCGAGAAUAAUGUGUUGGGAAGAGUUACUCUUUUUUGUUGCCAUAAACUUUUAUGCAACUUUUGACCAAAGAAAAAAAGAAGAACUUUUAUGCAAUUGAUAAUUUUAUGAUACGACGACAUAUCAUGUUUAAGCAGUUGUUAAAGAAGAAUCAAUUGAGAAGCCACUAUUUAGUGAUGAUCAAUGUUCAUUAGCUCUACUUUAGGUCAACCUCGUAUGCGUAAAGGUUCAAUAUUCAUGUUUCAAUUACACACACUCUCUUUUGCUAUAUGUCUUUAACUUUUUCAUGUUUUUCUCUUUCUCAUAUUAGUUUUCUUAAUCGAGAAGCUUGUUGUAGCAAAACAUACCAUCAAACUAAUUGAGCAAACAUUUGUUGUUCCCGUUUUUUUUUUCUCUAUUUUGAUUUCUCAAAAUACAUACUUGUUGUAGCAAAACUCACCAUGCAUCAAACUAAUUGAGCAAACAUGCAUUUGUUGUUCCAAAUUUUUCUCUAAUCAAAACACCAUAUGGGCUAGGUAAGAAGCAUUAUUUCACUUGUUAGAUUUUUUUUGUUUAAUGGAAAUGAAAACCAAAAUUUAUCUAACACCCUCUUAGCUAAGAAUCAUCACUUUCAUCUUUAUGUGACUUUGAUUCUACUCAAUUAGAACUUUAAAAAAAAAGGUCACUUAGGUGAUUAUUAUACCCUCUAAAUCCCACUUCAAAUCUUCAUCAAGCUUCUAACCUCAAAACAUAUCAAAUUCUUUUUAGGACACGUUUAGCUUUUAACAUCAUCAUCAUCCCUCAUAAUCAAAUCAUUUUCAACCGUUCGAUCGUAUGCUUUUGGGCUUGGUUAAGGGUUUUUCUUUGUGUUUGACGGGGUCCACACGGGUCAAACCUCGGUUUACUUUUCUCGAUGGGCCCCAGCAAAGGAGACUAUUGUCCACAUGAGGGAAGAUGAUUUAGUUGCCCCGUAGGAAACAAAGCUAGUAAUAAUAUUCGUCAUCACUUCCAAUUUACCAUUUAUGUCUUUCGAUUUUCACUGUUCAAAUUGUGUGAGCUCGAUAAUACUUGCGAUUUUAUCCUUUGUCUUCUAAGUUGUAAUUAUGAAAUCAAAAUGAUGAGAUAUUGGUGACUUAGUUUGGUAUUGUGGUUUAAAAACUCAAUUUUUUAAAAACUCAGUUUUAAAUAAGCAACCCUUAACCUGCUUUCUAAAAUCGUAAUUAUUUAAACUAAAAAGUUCUAGAUAAACACGCUUAAAUAUUUUACCAAACAAAAAAUCUAUCUAAAAUGAUGAUUAUAAGUGAUUUUAAUCUCCAAAACUCAAUACGAAACUGGGCCUAAGUGAGUCAAUACGUACAUCAUGCUAAAUUUUACAAUUAUAUUGUUCGUUAGUUUUUUUGUGUAAAUCAUGUUUACUUAUUAAAGACGGAUAUUAUAAAUUAUAUCAAACGAAUGAGUUUAAUAAAAGAAGAUGAAAAUGUGUAAAUAAAUUAUUUAGUUAAAGCUUAGAUAUAUGACAAUGAUUCUAAAGGUAAACGCCAUACUAUUACCGA